GCUAACCAAUGCCCGGAUCACUAUUACAUGGCGGCUAGAGUUUAUUCCAUUGCCCUAGUAGGUAAUUAUGAUAACACAACCACCACAGCUAUUGUACAGUACAGGGGAUACUACACUCCAUCUUCACCUCCCUCCUUGCCUUAUCUUCCUGGAUACAAUGACACAAAUGCAUCGGUUCACUUCAUGGGCAGCCUUCGAAGCUUAUGGGAUGCGGAACAUCCUUGCAAUGUCCCAUUAAGCAUGAACACUAAAUUGAUUUACACUAUCUCUAUGAACACGUUCCCAUGCGCCAAUAAUUCAUGUGCAGGGCCUAAUGGGACGCGGUUCGCCGCAAGUAUAAACAACAUAAGCUUCCAAUCCCCUAGAAUUGACAUACUGAAAGCUUACUAUUAUAACAUCAAUGGUGUAUAUGGAGAUAAAUUUCCUAGCAUUCCACAAGUGGUGUUCGAUUUUACAUCUGAGUAUCCUCCAUUGGAGUAUGAGACGCCGAGAAACGGAACAAAAGUAAGGAUGCUCGAGUAUAACUCCACAGUGGAGAUUGUUUUUCAAGGGACAAACUUGGUUGCAGGGACACACCACCCCAUGCAUCUCCAUGGAUACAGUUUCUAUGUUGUUGGAUGGGGACUUGGAAAUUUCGAUAAAAAUAGAGACCCUUUGCGCUAUAAUCUGGUGGAUCCUCCUCUUCAGAAUACCAUCACUGUUCUUAAGAAUGGUUGGACUGCAAUCAGAUUCAAGGCAUCCAACCCUGGUAUGUUGCAAGCACUCAUGUCCUCUAUUACACACACAGAAAGCAAAACCCUUGAAACUGCCGACCUGCAUAUCAAGGAAAUUAUUUUUCUUAAUAUUACAAGAAGUUAGGUGUAAUAAUAUUGGUAUAUUUUCUCUGUUGUAGGAGUGUGGUUCAUGCACUGCCAUUUAGACCGCCAUCAAACUUGGGGCAUGGAGACUGCGUUCAUAGUGAAAAAUGGUAGACACCCAGAAGCUCAAAUGUUGCCUCCACCAUCCGACAUGCCACCAUGUUGAAGCUGCAAAGAAUUAAAACGCCAAAGAUUUCAUUGAAUAUUGGCAUUAUUCAGCUUUCAUUAUUUUUUUUUCUUCUCAAAAAAGUUGUUGACUAAGUAUUCCUCUUCAACUAAAAUAACAAGAAUAUUGUCUCAUGUAAAGUUGUAGAAUAUUGUGCCUAGGAUUAUUGAUUUGUCAAUUUCUUGGAAUUUGCCGUUUCAACCAUAAUUAAUUUCAAUAUGAACAACUCAUUAAAUAUGCCAAUACAUUCCUAAGAACCACUGAAUAUUGCCAUGUCCACAAUAUAUAUAUAUAUAUAUAUAUCUUGAUUUGACACCUUUUAGCCAUUCCAGUUUUGUUCAUCAAGAUCAAAUACCAUGCCGUAUUAGAAAAGUUUGAAAUGGAAUGUUUUAAAAUAAUCUUGAUUUGACAUUUUUUACUUAUCCAUAUUUUAUUCCAAUUCCAUACAAGGUUAAGUAUGAUAUUAAUAAUUAAAAAAAAUUGUAAAUGAUAUAGUUUAGAGUAAUUGAAUUAUUCUAAUAUUUUAAAAUUAGAAUAAUUUAACAACUAAGUUGCUGCAAUUGACGGAACUCUCCCAAGUCCAAGUCAAUAAGGUUGGGAGGAGAGUUGUACAUUCAUGAGUGGUUUGUCGAAAAAGAUUAGAUAAUUAAACUUUCGUUUCCAAUGCUAUUGAAUUAAGAAAUAAAAUAAUAAUUAUCCAUUCCCCAUUGUCUCAUUUUCUUCCAUCACCAGUAGUUGUGGCUGGAGUAGACCAAGAAGUGCAUGACAAUGCUAGGAGCUAAGAAAGGUGGAGAGAGGCCAAAAUUUCACCCUACCUAUACCUAAUAGAUAGAAUUAAAGGAAUAAAUUUGGGCAUAACCUAAUUAUACUUUAUAAACACUAAAAAAUAAUUGUAAAGAAUUAAAUCCCAAAAAAUAAAUAAUAAUAAAUGAAAUUUCAUGAAUUAAAAAAUAAAUUAAGAACGCUUUGAUAUUGAUUGUGAUUAAAAUGUUUUUAUCCAUAAAAAAUAUUUUGACAUUAUAAAUGAUUUUAAAAAGAAUCACUUAGUAUUUGAAUGUAAAUUAAAAAGCUUAUUUUGAUAGUAUGUUUAGUUAAAAAAAAUAAAAAUUAAAAGGAUCAUUUACCAAGUAAUUGUUUAGAAAUUAUUUUUAAGUGAUUUUUCAGAUUUUUAAAAGUGAUUUUCAAAUAUAUUUAAAUUUUAUUUGGAUUGGCUUUUAAGAAUUAAAAAAAAAAUGAGUUCAAUAAAAGUUUUUAUACCUAUUUAAUUAUUUUUUUUAAAAACUUAUAACUUUAAAAAAAGAUUUCAUAUAAAAGUCCUAAAAAUGUUAUAAUGUUAUUUCUUAUUAGGAUUCUUUUUAUAAAUCUUUUAUAACAUCAACAUGUUAGAAAAUUGAAAGAUGACAAAACUUGAAUUCAUCAUACUAAGAUCUCAUGCUAAAUUAUCAAGAAAAAUAUUAGAAAGACAUACUUGUAUCAAUUGGAGUGCAACAAUGAGGUUUUUUAGUCUUUGAUGUUUGAAACGAUGUAUUGCAAGGAACUUGAACUUCACUUAGUGAUGGGAUAUGAGUAAAAUAGCAAUACCUCCUAUUUAAACUAGAGACCAUAACCCUAUUUAUUCAUGUACUCUAUUUUAUUUUAUUUAUUGGCCCAUCAUAAAUAAAUAAAAUAAAAUAUAUUUUAUACGUGGUCUUUACACAUUGCAAGCCCAUACCCCUUAAGAAAUGUCUUAAAAGCCUAAUAAAUUAAUUAACUUAACUAAUCACUUUUAAUAUUCUAAUAAUAAUAACACAUGUACAAUUAAUGUUAAUAUGUAGGCCCAUAAUUGGAAAAAUUUUCCAACAAUCUCCCACUUGGGCCACAAAUGUCAUUAAACAAUUGUACAUUACAAAAAUUUAACGAGCUCAAUAUUUGUUAUCUUAACUGUAAGCAUCUCUAAAUAGUUUGGUCCACCAAUAAUACUAAUAUAGAAUCAAAGUGAUAUUAUCAUAAUUUUUGUAAUUAAACCCAUCAAUGAUCACUAUAUCAAUACAAUCAACGACAUAUAAUGUGUAGCAUGAAAAUUUCAUAUAAUGUGUCCUCAUAUCAUACCUAUUUCCAACUGGUCCUAAUUAUAACUCAAAAGAGUUAAAUGACAUACUUUCAAACUUUAUACACAACUACAAUUGAAAGAAUAUAACUUUACUUUAGAGUUUUCAAUAAACAAAACCAGAACAAUACUUGGGUCUGAUAAGAAAAACAUGUUAAUAACAAAUGAACAUCAACUAACAAACUCCCACUAUAUAAGCAUAUAAGCAAGGUAAACCACACUCAUACAAGCCACAUGCUUAUGAAGCACUUUAAGUGGUAAGCCCAUAGUGAGGGGAUCCAUAAUCAUGAAGUUUGGACUAAUAUGUUCAAUGGACACUCAAAGACUUUGAACUCUUUCCUUAACAACCAAAAACCUUAUGCCAAUAUGCUUCAAUUUUGACGAGCUUUUAUUGUUUUUAGAAUACAAUUUUGCAGCUUUAUUAUCACAAUUUAUACUCAAUGAUUUCUCAAUGCCACCAACGAUAUGCAGUACAGUGAUAAAGUUCCAUAGCCAUAUUCCUUGGUUCGAUGCCUUAUAACAAGCUAUAAAUUAUGCUUCCAUGGUGGAAGUAGUUAUGAAUGAUUUCUUAACACUCUUCCAAGACACAACUCCUCCAGCCAACAUGAAAACAUAACCAAAAGUGGAUCUUUUGCUAUAAAGCCAACCAACAAAGUCAGAGUCGAAAUACCCUGUGACCUUUAAAUGAUCAGACCUCUUAUAUGUGAGUAUCAAAUCUUUUGUUAUUUGUAGAUACCUCAUAACCUAUUUUGUUUCUUUCCAAUGAACCAUUCUUGUGUUACUUAAAUAUUUUCCAAGCAUACCAACUAUGUCUGCAAUAUUUGAAUGCGUACAAACUUGAGCAUAGAUGAGCAUAGAUGAGACUCCCUAUUGCUGACACAUGAGACUCCCUAUUGCCAACGCAUAAGGGAUAUUCUCUAUCUUUUUCUUCUUAAUUUUGUUCAUUGGGCAUUGAAGCAAACUAAAUUUAUCACCCUUAGCAAUGGGUGUGUCUCUUGACGCAUAGUCCUUCAUACCAAAUCUACUAAGCACUUUAUCAAUAUAUGCCUUUUGUGAUAAGCCAAGAAUACCACAAGAACGAUCUUGAUGAAUCUGUAUACCCAACAUAAGAUGCAUUACCAAGAUCUUUCAUUUCAAAAUUGUUUGAAAGAAAUCUCUUAGUUUCAUGCAACAAGCCUAUAUCGUUGCUUGCUAGUAGAAUGUCAUAGACAUAUAACAAUAGGAGAAUAAAUUUGCUCACAUUGAUCUUGUGAUACAUACAUUGAUCAACAAUGUUUUCCUUAAAACUAAAAUAGGUAAUCACUUGAUCAAACUUCUAAUACCGUUGAUGGGAUGCUUGCUUUAAACCAUAAAUAGACUUCUUUAAUUUGCAUACCAAAUGUUUUGAUUCGUUGGAUUCAAAAUUCUCUGGUUGCACCAUGUAUAUGGUUUCUUCAAUGUUUCUGUUGAGAAAUAUGGUCUUUACAUCCAUCUGAUGUAACUCCAAAUCAUAAUGAGUUAUAAGUGCCAUAACGAUUCUUAAAGAGUCUUUUGAUGAAACUGAAGAGAAAGUUUCUUUAUAAUUAAUGCCUUCCUUUUGAGUGAAACCUUUGGUAACUUGACAUGCUUUAUAUCUUUCCACAUUGCCUUUCAAAUCCUACUUGGUUUUAAGAAUCAUUUUGCAACCAACCUAUUUCACUUCUGCAGGCAAUUCGACAAGAUCCCAAAUGUCAUUAUCUUUCAUUGAUUUCAUCUCAUCUUUCAUGGCCUCUACCCAUUUCUAGGGAUUUACACAUUGUUUGGAUUAACUAAAAGAUAUUGGAUCAUUUUCCAGUCCCAUAUCAAACUCAGAUUCUUCAAGAUACAUGAUAUAGUCAUCUGAAAUCGCCAUUAUCCUCUCCUUAGUGAAUCUUUUCAAUGGUACUUCCAAUUGAGGUUGUUUUUUUUCCUCCUCAUGAAUAGGAGUUAGUUCUUCAGUAUGAGUAGGAGGUAACUCAAGAGUGUCUUAAUUAUCUGGAUUUGCAUUUGGAAUAAUGUUAGAUAUAAUUACUUGAUCAUUUUUAUUUGCAAUUAUAGGAAUAAUAACAUAUUCCUCUUCAAAGACAAAGUUCAUGAGUUCAGAACUCCCACCAUAUUCAGCAUCCUCAAUGAAUUUAGCAUUGCUCGUCUCAAAAAAGGACUUGCUUGAGGGUCAUAAAACUUGAAAUCCCUCAACCUUUUUGAGUACCCAACAAAGUAGCAACUUAUUAUUCUUGACUCCAGUUUUCUUUCAUUAGGCUUAUAUAGCCUAGCCUUAGUUGAACAACCCCAAACAUAAAGAUGCUUAAUACUAGGCUUCUUUAUAGUCCAAAGCUCAAAUGGGGUUUUAGCUAUUACUUUGCUUGGAACUUGAUUAAGGAUAUAAAUUAUAGUCUUUAAGGCUUCUCCCCAAAGUGAUUAUGGCAAAGAAGAAUGAUUUAUCAUACUUCUAACCAUAUACUUUAAGGUUCGGUUUCAUAUCUCAGCCACACCAUUUUAACUUAGUCCCUAGCAUGGUGUACUAGGGAAUGAUGCUAUAUUCCUACAAAUAUCUUGCAAAAGGCCCUAGACAUUGGUCACCUGGUCCAUCAUAUCUACCAUAUAUAGUACUCACCACCAUGGUUAGAUUUCAUGACUUUAAUUUUCUUUUCAAUUUGAUUUUCAACUUCAUCUUUAUAGGAUUUGAAAACUUCCAAUGAUUAAAACUUCUCAUGAAUCAAGUAUAAGUAUCCAUAAUGAGGACAAUCGUCUAUGAAAGUAAUAAAAUAUUGUUGACCAUUCUAAGAAGCCAUAGGGAAUGGACCACAAAUAUCAGUAUGAUGUUGGCACCAACCUUUUUUACAUUUGUUUGUUUUCCUUUAAUGCAUUCAAUACAAAUUUUAAAAUCUGAAAAAAAUCAAGGGAACCAAGAAUUUCUUCUGACACAAGUCUCUAAAUGCUUUGUUUAGAAAUAUGUCCUAAAUGCUUGUGCCAUAACAUGAAAGAAUUCUCAUCAGUUAAUUGGUGUUUUGUACCAAAAUUGCUUGCAUGCAAGGAUUCAUUAAUAAGUGAAACAUGGAUAUCCAAUUUAUAUAGAUUAUCAACUAAAAAACCAAUACCAAUCAUAUUUGAAUAUUGAAAAAAACUAAAAUUUCCAAUUUCCAAAUGAACAAGAGUAACUAGAUUUGUCCAAACGAGAAACAAAUAUCAAAUUCCAUCUAAAUGACAGUACAUAAAAAGUCUUAUCUAAAUCCAAAUAACAACUAGAUUCUAAUUGCAAUCUAAAUAAACCAAUCACCACAAUAGGAGCUUUAUUUCCAUUUUCCAUAUAAAUGAAUCUUUUAGCAUCAGUUGGCGCUCGACUUCUUAGACAACCCUGCAUUGUCACACUUAUGUGAGUAGUUGCAUCUGUAUCUAUCCGCCAAGUAUGAUUUUGUAUUAAAGCCAGAUUAACUUUAGAACAAACAAAGUUGAGAAGUUUACCAUUUUUUAUGAGCCAUUUUGCAUACUUAGGAUAGUCUUUCUUCACAUGUUCACUUUUCUUACAAAAGAAACAAAUGAUAACCUUAUCCUAUUUAUGUUGCACCUUAGGUUGUGAAGUCUCGUUGUCUACAACUCCUUUUCCUUUUCCUUUACUGUUACUAUUCCUUUUUCUUUUCUUGUUGGCAGCAUUGUCAUGAGAGGAAGUAGCUAAGUGAACACUUUCUAUCUUCUCUUAUUUCAAUCUCUCUUCCUCUUAUACACACUGACCAAUGAGCUCAUUAAGAGUCUAUUUUUCUUUUUGAGUAUUAUAACUUAUCUUAAAAGGAUUGAAUUGUGUAAGGAGAGAUAUCAAGACUAGGUGCACAAGAAUGUCAUUAGAAAACUCUAACUUUAGUGCCUUUAGUCAAGUAAUAAGAUUAGACAUUUCCAUAAUGUAUUCCCUUAUGUUCUCUUUGCCUUUAUAUCGCAUUGAAACGAGCUUACCAAGAAUGGUGCUCAUUUCAACCUUUUCAAAUCUAGCAAAUCGGUUUGCUAUUUGGCUUAGGAAACUCUUAGUACUUUCCUCCUUAGGCAUUACGCCCUAGAUGGUAUCUGGAAUAGAGUGCUUCAUAAUCAUAAGACUUAUGCGGUUAGAAUGCUCCCGCUUUUCAAAGUUAGCCAUUUGUUCUAUAGUACUGUCAUUAGUAAGGGUGGAAGGUUGUUCAGACUGGAUCACAUAGUCUAGAUCCAUUGGCCAGCAUCACCAUCAACAGACAAUAGACAAAAGGGGUUAUGAUCCUAACAACUUGUGCUGCUAACGGAAACCCUUGUAGUUAAGGCAAACGUUACAUCGUUCUCAAUGGAAUGAGUUAUUAAUAGAAUGAUAGAACCCUUCAAAUCUAAAGAUUUCCAUUGAUUGCAACAUGGCAUAUUUUUUGUUUGUUUGUUUUUUUCAUUAAAAUUAAUUUGUUGAAAAAAAAUUGAUAAGUUAAAUAAAUGAUUUUAAAAAAAACCUUAAUAUUUAACAUUAUUAAAUACUAUUUAAAUUAAAAUUAAAUUAAUAUUUAUUUAGAUUUAGGAUAAUAAUAAUAAUAAUAAUAACAAUAACAAUAAUAAUAAUAAUAAAAGAAACCAUCUCAGACUCCUUAAUUCAAUCAUUGAUGAUGGAUGCAUUACAUACAUCUUAUCGAGUCUUGAGAAAUAACAUUAGAGAUGACGUACAUAGUAGGUGUAAUAAUUAAGUUGAAGUUGAGUCUUGAAAAAUUAGUUCAUGACGUGAUCUUAAUUAUUUACGUAAAACAGUUUUCUUGAUUAACAAGUAUUCUACAUAUAUUUAAUUAAUAUUUCUCAAAAUAGUCAAUAAAAAAUGUGUGAAGAAUAUUUCAUUAAAUUUAUUCUGAAACAACGUGUUUGAUUGAUUUUUUAGUCAAGUCUCCAAGUCAAACUUGUAUUUUGAAUGAGAAAAUUCAUGCAUUUGGUUCAUUUAAAAUUUGGUAAAGUGACAAAAUGUCAUAAUCAUGGUGGUCCUACUUAUUGAAGUGGUCCUGGAAGAACAUUCAAGACCAACACACAUUCAAAUUACUUCCUAUUAUAUUGAUAUGUGGCGAGGAAUUGUCGUACCCCAGUAGAAUCAUCUUGACUAUAUUAUGAAUUAUAUAUUAAAGAAAUACAGCGAAAGUUCGAGAGAAACCAGCUGUCCGCUGCCCACAGAAGGUGAAAGCAGCCAUAAAAGUUGCUGUUCAGCUUUCACCAACUCCAGUUUUGGUUCUCUCCAGCCUGCAGCCAUAAAAGUUGCUGUUCAGCUUUCACCAGUUCUAGUUUUGGUUCUCUCCAGCCUCUAUAAAUACCUUUAAGAAUUCAUCUACUCACGUCAAAGAGAAGAUAAGUCGUGCUAUUAGAAAUAGUAAGAAAAUUGAAGGAGUUGUGUUUAGGACAAGAGAAGAUCAGGCUGUUAUUCCAGAGAAGAUGUGGUUGAUCACAAAGAUGAAACUCUUGCAAAUUUUAGUGUUUCUGCUUUUUGGUGGUGGCAUCCAUUGCCAAGCUUCAAUUCAUCGGCAUACUUUUGUGGUAAGUACUAUAUAUGAUUUUAGUCUCAACGCCACCUUCUGAUCAUGAUAUUUAGGGAGGAGUAUGUGUCUCAUUUUCCAUCGUAUGACCCCAUGGGGUCUUCGGGUACCCUGGUGUCGUUGAGUUGUUCAUGCAUGCUAUCAAUUUCUAAUUGGUUAUCCAGUUGCAUAAAUGGAUUGAUGCAACUAUUUAUGUAUGUAAUAUUUCUUUUGGGACAAAUGGUUAACUUCUAAUUGGUUGCAGGUGAAGGAAGCUUUAUAUACAAGGCUUUGUAGCACCAAGAACAUCUUAACAGUAAAUGGACGAUUUCCAGGACCAACUAUAUAUGCUAAGAAAGGAGAGAUUAUCACUGUCGACAUUUAUAACAGGGGAAAAGAAAACGUCACCAUUCAUUGGUAGGUCCUAUGUGUGUCUUAGAGAAAGAUAGAGGCCGACAGCAUGGCUGCAUGGCAUACAUAUUUUUUUUCUAAGAGAGGUUGAAAUAUAUUGCUUUCCAAAUAAAGUCAAAUUUAAAACAAUGCUUUAGAGUUAUUUGCUUCAAUUCUACCGAACAGUUGAUGCCUCUUGUUAAUAUGAUAAUAUGUUUUUCCAUGUCAUCUUUUGUUAGUCCGAAAAUUAAUACUAGUUUUAACAUAUAGUUAUUGUUUUGUAGGCAUGGGGUGAAAAUGCCCAGAUAUCCAUGGACAGAUGGUCCUGAGUAUAUCACACAAUGCCCAAUUCAGCCAGGGUCAAAGUUUAGCCAAAAGAUCAUCCUUUCCUCUGAGGAAGGCACUUUAUGGUGGCAUGCUCACAGUGAUUGGACCCGAGCCACCGUUCAUGGAGCUAUAAUCGUCUAUCCUAAGAAUGGAACCAAGUAUCCUUUUCCCAAACCCAAUGUAGAAGUUCCCAUCAUAUUAGGUAUAAGUGUUACUUUUAUAGGUUAAUUUACAUAUUAUGAAUUAACCAACAAAGCUAAAUCUAAAAUUAUUGGAGUUGUUGAAUGUAGGAGAAUGGUGGAAGAGUGAUGUGAAUGCGGUUCGAGAUGAAGGGCUUGCAACCGGAGCUGACCCCAAUAUCUCUGAUUCUUUCUUGAUAAAUGGACAACCUGGUGAUCUACAUCCAUGCUCAAAAUCAGGUACAAAUUAAGUUUAACUUCCCAUUUUCAAAUUGUACAUGAUUUCAUUUUCUUGUAUUUUAACCAUAUUACUUUUUCUUAUUAACAUCAACAUUUUUAAAGCUUAAUAUUAAGAAAGAGGAAUAUAGCUAUGAGGAUUGUAGAGCUAGCCAUGAUUUAACACACAAGAAAAGGCUAGUCCAAAUAUAAUUUUGAACUAUGGAACCAAAUUUACACCCCUAACCAAUUAAUUACUUCGUAAUUGGUGGAUCUUCAUGGAAACUUUUUCUUUUUCUUUUGGCUAGUCAUAAGUAUACAACUUUCCAUUUCUAAUUGUAGGCACAUUCAAGCUAACGGUGGAUCAUGGCAAGACCUAUCUACUUCGCAUAAUCAAUGCUGCCUUGCAGGAGGCUCUCUUCUUCUCCAUUGCCAAGCAUAAAAUGACAGUGGUUGGAACAGAUGGUAGCUACACGAAACCAUUGACACGAGAUUAUAUUAUAAUAUCACCUGGCCAAACCUUUGAUGUCAUAUUAGAAGCUAACCAACGCCCGAAUCACUAUUAUAUGGCAGCUAGAGUUUAUUCCGUUGCUCCACUAGGUAAUUAUGAUAACACGACCACCACAGCUAUUGUACAGUACAAGGGAUACUACACUUCAUCUUUACCUCCCUCCUUGCCUCAUCUUCCUGGAUACAAUGACACAAAUGCAACGGUUCACUUCACGGGCCGCCUCCGAAGCUUAGGGGAUGCGGAACAUCCUUGUAAUGUCCCAUUGAGCAUGAGCACUAAAUUGAUUUACAUCAUUUCUAUGAAC
rnacentral:lncRNA from 1 species